rnacentral:rRNA from 1 species
UAGUCCACGCCGUAAACGAUGGAUACUAGCUGUUCGAUCUUCGGAUUGAGUGGCUAAGCGAAAGUGAUAAGUAUCCCACCUGGGGAGUACGUUCGCAAGAAUGAAACUCAAAGGAAUUGACGGGGGCCCGCACAAGCGGUGGAGCAUGUGGUUUAAUUCGAUGAUACGCGAGGAACCUUACCAGGGCUUAAAUGCAUAUUGACAGGGGUGGAAACACCUUUUCCUUCGGGCAAUUUGCAAGGUGCUGCAUGGUUGUCGUCAGCUCGUGCCGUGAGGUGUCAGGUUAAGUCCUAUAACGAGCGCAACCCCUGUUGUUAGUUGCCAGCGAGUCCAGUCGGGAACUCUAACAAGACUGCCAGUGCAAACUGUGAGGAAGGUGGGGAUGACGUCAAAUCAUCACGGGCCCUUACGUCCUGGGGCUACACACGUGCUACAAUGGCCGGUACAGAGGGGCCGCAAACCCGCGAGGGGGGAGCUAAUCUCACAAAACCGGGUCGUAGUCCGGGAUCGCAGUCUGCAAC